GAUGAACGCUGGCGGCGUGCUUAACACAUGCAAGUCGAACGGGAAUGCUUCGCUGAUGCGAUUUCGGUCAAAUCUUGAAGCAUUUUAGUGGCGGACGGGUGAGUAACGCGUGGGUAACCUGCCCUGUACAGGGGGACAACAGUUGGAAACGACUGCUAAUACCGCAUAAGCGCACAGCUUCGCAUGAAGCGGUGUGAAAAACGCCGGUGGUACAGGAUGGACCCGCGUCUGAUUAGAUAGUUGGUGAGGUAACGGCCCACCAAGUCGACGAUCAGUAGCCGGCCUGGGAGGGCGAACGGCCACAUUGGGACUGAGACACGGCCCAAACUCCUACGGGAGGCAGCAGUGGGGAAUAUUGGACAAUGGGGGAAACCCUGAUCCAGCCAUGCCGCGUGAAUGAUGAAGGCCUUCGGGUUGUAAAGUUCUUUUGGUGGGGACGAUGAUGACGGUACCCACAGAAUAAGCUCCGGCUAACUUCGUGCCAGCCGCCGCCGUAA
rnacentral:rRNA from 1 species